AAACUAACAAGGAUUCCCCCAGUAACGGCGAGUGAAGAGGGAAAAGCCCAAAUUUGUAAUCUGGCUCUUUCAUGAGGGUCCGAGUUGUAAUUUUGAGAACUGUUUUCUGUGCUGGACCAUUUCUAAGUUUGUUGGAAAACAGCAUCAUAGAGGGUGAUAAUCCCGUUUGUGAUAUGGACUACCAGGGCUAUAUGAUACAGUUUUUAAGAGUCGAGUUGUUUGGGAAUGCAGCUCAAAGUGGGUGGUAAAUUCCAUCUAAGGCUAAAUAUAGGUGAGAGACCGAUAGCAUACAAGUACCGUGAGGGAAAGAUGAAAAGAACUUUGGAAAGAGAGUUAACAGUACGUGAAAUUGUUGUAAAGGAAACAUUUAAACUUGUCGUUGUGCUUGUCAGUUCAGCCCUCUUAUCAGGGUGUAUUCUGGCAAAUCACGGACCAACAUCAGUUUUUGAGUGCUGGAUAAGGGUCCUGGGAAUGUAGCAGUUUUGGCUGUGUUAUAGCCUGGGAUUUAGAUACAGUGCUUAGGACUGAGAACAAUUUGCAGCAAGCCCUUUAUUGUGGCAGCCUAUCAUGGGCACCCAUGCUGAGGAUGUUGGUGAGAUAGAUUUAAAUGAC
rnacentral:rRNA from 1 species